rnacentral:rRNA from 1 species
GAUGAACGCUGGCGGCGUGCCUAAUACAUGCAAGUCGAGCGAACGGACGAGAAGCUUGCUUCUCUGAUGUUAGCGGCGGACGGGUGAGUAACACGUGGAUAACCUACCUAUAAGACUGGGAUAACUUCGGGAAACCGGAGCUAAUACCGGAUAAUAUUUUGAACCGCAUGGUUCAAAAGUGAAAGACGGUCUUGCUGUCACUUAUAGAUGGAUCCGCGCUGCAUUAGCUAGUUGGUAAGGUAACGGCUUACCAAGGCAACGAUGCAUAGCCGAGCUGAGAGGGUGAUCGGCCACACUGGAACUGAGACACGGUCCAGACUCCUACGGGAGGCAGCAGUAGGGAAUCAGCCGCAAUGGGCGAAAGCCUGACGGAGCAACGCCGCGUGAGUGAUGAAGGUCUUCGGAUCGUAAAACGCUGUUAUUAGGGAAGAACAUAUGUGUAAGUAACUGUGCACAUCGAGACGGUACCUAAUCAGAAAGCCACGGCUAACUACG